GUGCCAGCCGCCGCGGUAAUACUGGCAGCCCAAGUGAUGGCCGCUGUUAUUGGGCCUAAAGCGUCCGUAGCUGGCCGCGCAAGUCCAUCGGAAAAUCCACCCGCCCAACGGGUGGGCGUCCGGUGGAAACUGCGUGGCUUGGGACCGGAAGGCGCGACGGGUACGUCCGGGGUAGGAGUGAAAUCCCGUAAUCCUGGACGGACCGCCGAUGGCGAAAGCACGUCGCGAAGACGGAUCCGACAGUGAGGGACGAAAGCUAGGGUCUCGAACCGGAUUAGAAACCCCAGUUCC
rnacentral:rRNA from 1 species